GAAACCUCAAACACCCUUGUGGAUUCUCGGAGAAAAUCAAAAUUCAUCUCUCAUGAGUCUGCCAUAAAUUUGAUCAAACAUGAGAGGGAUCCACAAUAUGCAUUAGAAAUUUUCAACAUGGUAGCAGAACAAAAGGGUUUCAAUCACAAUCAUGCUACCUAUUCAACCAUAAUUCAUAAGCUUGCUCAGGCCAAGAAGUUUCAGGUGGUUGAUGCACUGCUUCAUCAGAUGACCUAUGAAACUUGCAAAUUUCAUGAAAAUAUAUUACUUAAUCUUAUGAAGCAUUUCUCUAAGUCUUCUCUGCAUGAGAGAGUGCUUGAGAUAUUCUAUGCAAUUCAGCCAAUAGUUCGUGAGAAGCCAUCUCUCAAAGCCAUCAGCACGUGUCUCAAUCUGUUGAUUGAAGCAAAGCAGAUUGAUUUGGCCCAGAAAGUUCUGUUAUAUGUCAAGGAGUGUCUCAAAGUAAGACCAAAUACCUGUAUUUUUAACAUCUUGGUCAAGCAUCAUUGCAAAAUUGGGGGGGAUCUUGAAUCUGCCUUUCAAGUUUUGAAGGAGAUGAAAAAGUCCAGUAGGACUUAUCCUAAUUUGAUUACCUACUCAACUCUGAUGGACGGGCUAUGCAAAAGUGGAAGACUCAAUGAAGCAAUUGAAUUGUUUGAGGACAUGGUGGCAAAGGAUCAGAUAUUGCCUGAUGCUCUCACUUACAGUGUUUUGAUUAAUGGCUUUUGCAAUGGGGGGGAAGUUGAUAGGGCCAGGAAGAUAAUAGAGUUUAUGAGAAAUAAUGGAUGCAACCCAAAUUUAUUUAAUUAUUCAGCCCUGAUGAAUGGAUUUUGUAAAGAGGGAAGGUUUAAGGAGGUCAAAGAGCUUUUUGAUGAGAUGAAGAGCUUUGGCUUGAAACCUGAUACAGUUGGCUACACUACAUUGAUAAAUUGUUUCUGUGGGACAGGUAGAAUAGAUGAAGCCAUGGAGUUGCUUAAAGAGAUGGCAGAAAUGAAGUGCAAACCUGAUGUUGUAACUUUUAAUGUGUUGCUUAAAGGUUUGUGCAGAGAAGGCAGGUUUGAUGAGGCUCUUGGGAUGCUUGAGAAACU
rnacentral:misc_RNA from 1 species